GUCUGGGUUGUGUAGUUGGUUUCUCGCAGGCUUUCUGCACCUAACGUUGCGGGUUCAAAACCCGGCCCUAGACG